UAAGUUACUUCAGGUGACCUGCGGCUGCUCAUCCUGUUGGUGCUCGUGACACCCAGCUGGUCUCAGUGAUAGCUCUGAACUCAGUGUGAAGGAGCACGACCACUAUUCAAGCUCACUGACAGGAAGCAGGCAUUCUCUAACGAGGGCACCUUCCAUCUGUGGCAGGUUUCAUUCUGUUCUCCAUGACUGACAUUCUGGUCUCUGCACUGCUGGCGUGGGCUGUCUUCUCAUCCCGUCUGUCUGAGAGGUUGGCUUGGGUGCUGCUUUGUGUGCACGUGAUGCUGAGGACUGAAGUGAGGCCGUGUGUAUGCAGGCAAGCCCAG
rnacentral:lncRNA from 1 species